AGGGGCGGCUAAAAUCGCGAGUCGAGCGAGCUUGCCUAGAUGAUUUUAGUGCUUGCACUAAAUGAAACUAGAUACAAGCCAUCGGCGGACGGGUGAGUAACACGUGGGUAACCUGCCCCCGUGACUGGGAUAACACCUGGAAACAGAUGCUAAUACCGGAUAACAACACUAGACGCAUGUCUAGAGUUUGAAAGAUCCUUCUGCUAUCACUCUUGGAUGGACCUGCGGUGCAUUAGCUAGUUGGUAAGGUAACGGCUUACCAAGGCAAUGAUGCAUAGCCGAGUUGAGAGACUGAUCGGCCACAUUGGGACUGAGACACGGCCCAAACUCCUACGGGAGGCAGCAGUAGGGAAUCUUCCACAAUGGACGAAAGUCUGAUGGAGCAACGCCGCGUGAGUGAAGAAGGGUUUCGGCUCGUAAAGCUCUGUUGGUAGUGAAGAAAGAUAGAGGUAGUAACUGGCCUUUAUUUGACGGUAAUUACUUAGAAAGUCACGGCUAACUACGUGCCAGCAGCCGCGGUAAUACGUAGGUGGCAAGCGUUGUCCGGAUUUAUUGGGCGUAAAGCGAGUGCAGGCGGUUCAAUAAGUCUGAUGUGAAAGCCUUCGGCUCAACCGGAGAAUUGCAUCAGAAACUGUUGAACUUGAGUGCAGAAGAGGAGAGUGGAACUCCAUGUGUAGCGGUGGAAUGCGUAGAUAUAUGGAAGAACACCAGUGGCGAAGGCGGCUCUCUGGUCUGCAACUGACGCUGAGGCUCGAAAGCAUGGGUAGCGAACAGGAUUAGAUACCCUGGUAAUCCAUGCC
rnacentral:rRNA from 1 species